rnacentral:rRNA from 1 species
GGAUUCCCCUAGUAACUGCGAGUGAAGCGGGAAAAGCUCAAAUUUGAAAUCUGGCAGUCUUUUUUUUCUUCUUUGGCUGUCCGAGUUGUAAUCUAGAGAAGUGCUUACCUGCGCUGGACCAUGUAUAAGUCUCCUGGAAUGGAGCGUCGCAGAGGGUGAGAAUCCCGUCUUUGACAUGGACUGCCAGUGUGUUGUGGUGUGCUCUCAAAGAGUCGAGUUGUUUGGGAAUGCAGCUCUAAACGGGUGGUAAACUCCAUCUAAAGCUAAAUAUUGGCGAGAGACCGAUAGCGAACAAGUACCGUGAGGGAAAGAUGAAAAGGACUUUGGAAAGAGAGUUAAACAGUAUGUGAAAUUGUUGAAAGGGAAACGCUUGGAGUCAGUUAUGUUGGCUAGGGAUCAACUUUAGCUAUUUUGCUGGGUGAUUUUCCUAGUCUUUGACAGGCCAACAUCAGUCUCGACUGCUGGAAAAGAGCAGAGGGAAUGUGGCACCUUCGGGUGUGUUAUAGCCCUCUGUCAUAUGUGGCAGUCGGGACUGAGGGAUGCAGCGUGCCGCGAGGCUGGGUUUCGACCACGUUCACGCUUUGGAUGUUGGCUUUUAAUGGCUUCAAUCGACCCGUCUUGAAACACGGACCAAGGAGUCUAACAUGCCUGCGAGUGUUUGGGUGGGGAAAACCCUUGUGCACAAUGAAAGUGAAAGUUGAGAUCCCUGUCAUGGGGAGCAUCGACGCCCGGACCUGAGCUUCCAGCGACGGAUCCGCGGUAGAGCAUGCAUGUUGGGACCCGAAAGAUGGUGAACUAUGCCUGAAUAGGGCAAAGCCAGAGGAAACUCUGGUGGAGGCUCGUAGCGAUUCUGACGUGCAAAUCGAUCGUCAAAUUUGGGUAUAGGGGCGAAAGACUAAUCGAACCAUCUAGUAGCUGGUUCCUGCCGAAGUUUCCCUCAGGAUAGCAGAAGCUCGUUGUCAGAUUUAUGUGGUAAAGCGAAUGAUUAGAGGCCUUGGGGUUGAAACAACCUUAACCUAUUCUCAAACUUUAAAUAUGUAAGAAACGGGCUGUCACUUGAUGGACUGCUCGGUGAUGAGAGCUCUAUGGCUG